UAGUCAGCCAGGUAAAUAAGUCCUCUGGAAAGGGGCGACAUGGAGGGUGAAAUCCCCGUCUUUGGCCUGAGUUUUUUUUGAUUAGGCGUUUGGCCUGGAAACGAAGAGUCAGGUUGUUUGGGAAUGCAGCCUAAAAUGGGAGGUAAAUCUCUCCUAAAGCUAAAUAUUGACGAAAGACCGAUAGCGAACAAGUACCGUGAGGGAAAGAUGAAAAGCACUUUGAAAAGAGGGUCAAAAAGUACGUGAAAUUGCUGAAAGGGAACCGUAUAAAAUCAGAUUUACUGGUAGGUAAUCAACCUUUCCCUUGGGAAGGGUGCACUUGCCUACUCAUGUAUGCCAGCGAUAUUUCGGUUAGAAGGAAAAAAGUGGGAGGAAGGUAGCCUAGGCCUUUGGUUUAGGUGUUAUAGCCUCUUACAAAAUACUUUUGGCUGGAAUAAGGAACGCAGCAAACCCGCAAGGGCGAAGAGUUUGGGUGCUUGGGGUGAUGAGUGAGUGAAUUUCUGCUUCGGGUGGUGCAUUCACUUAUCAUUUCAACCCAUCUAGGCUUCUUUUUAUUUGCUUAGGUUGUUGGCUUAAUGAUUUUAUAUGACCCGUCUUGAAACACGGACCAAGGAGUCCACCAUAGGCGCAAGUCUUUGGGUGUAAAAACCCAUAGGCGAAAGGAAAUUGACUAAGAUACCAAGGCAGUCAAAUGCUGGCAGUAUCCCCCGGCGUGGACGUUUCUAUACUGAAAUGACUGAGGGUAAGCGCUUAUGAUGGGACCCGAAAGAUGGUGAACUAUACUUGAAUAGGGUGAAGCCAGAGGAAACUCUGGUGGAAGCUCGCAGCGAUUCUGACGUGCAAAUCGAUCGUCAAAUUUGAGUAUAGGGGCGAAAGACUAAUCGAACCAUCAGUGUCCUA
rnacentral:rRNA from 1 species